GUUCGGGGGUGCGUUUUGUGGGUCGAGUGGUUCUUCUUGACCCCCCCCUCCCGCCGCUGCUUUUGCGUUAACUCGGCUGCUUUUCGUCACGUUUUAACCUGAGUGUCUUAAUGAGCUCUGCUGGUUAGAGCCGUUCUGCCGUGCGCGGUCUCGGGUGGCAACGAGGCGUGGGGAGAAGCUUUCUGCCUGUUGCUGCACGGUUCCAGCCUGCCGCGGUUGCCAUCCAUGUGGUCAUUCUUUAACUCGUUUCUCCCUCUUCAUCUAACGGGUUUAAGGUGCAAAUCCGUGGCAGUUCCCAGCGAUCUAAAUCCCAAUUUCCACUCUUCCCAUUUCCAGCUCUGUGUUCCCAUCUUUCCCUGUGCUUCACAGAGGACAGCGCCAAAGAGGCUGCCUUUAGCUGUGCAGGUGAUGCUCCAAGCUGAGUGGGUUUCAGACCAGUGUCUUAACGGAAUACCUGAAGCCUUCAGGGGGGCACAUCCAUUGACCAGAAAGCAUUUGGCACCCCCCAGCCAAGAGUUUGCACUCUAGCUUAUUGCCAGCAUGACUUCAGACAUGGAAGAGAACUGCCAGGACCAGAGAAGACAGGCAGGGUGAGGGGGAGGAAGCCUACACCUAAUAAGAUUAAAUUUGCAUGGAUUUGCCUGGUGUGAUUUA